AGCGAAGCGGAUAACUGCGGGUA
rnacentral:snRNA from 1 species